GAUCAAACGUCUUGGUCUCUGGGUCAUUCGUCUCAGGACCGCUUGGGAGCCUUCCGGGUCCUCGAAGGGAUUCGUGAGACGGGGGGCGUGCGCUUCCUGCGGGGUGCUUGACGCAGGGGCUGAGAGCUGGGCCUGGGUUGAGGCGGAGCUGCGUGUUUUUGGAAGCCGCAGGAGGACGUCUUCGCUUUAAAAUGUUGCCACCCAUCCACUUGCAUUGUAUGGACCUACAGAGAUGAGAAAUUCUUCUAAUCUUCAUUCAAGUUCAGCUGAAGAAAGAAAGUCAUACACAUCUGGGGUUGCAUGAAGGAAAACCUUUCUCCCUCUUUGAACGAGUGCUGCGACUGAAAGGCGUUACAGAACAACUGACCACAAUAUGGAUCUAAUGGCGUACUUCAUGGAACUAACCCAGGCGGAUUUAACAAUUCAAGAGUUCUCCCACUUCUUCUCCAGUGUGGCCAUCCACACCGGUUUAGAUGACAAAGCCCUGAAGGACAUCUUUCGGAUCGGUGUACUAACAUGCCGAUGGGGGGAUUUGCCGGAGACCGGUGCUUACACAUGGAAGGAGUAUGUGGAGCUCGUUUUGGAGACAUUCGCUGCAGAGGAACCACCUCUCUCAAUCCCGGGAUCAGCUUCUGAACAUUCCACGCCUGCCACGGCCAACGCGCCAACGACCACGCCUGCUACGGCCAAUGAGCUGGAAGCCUCGUCCGUCCCAGAGCCAGCGUUGCCAGCCUCGUCCAUCCCAGAGCCAGCGUUGCCAGCCUCGUCUGUACGGAGGCAGAGGAGAAGAAAGGCUUCUGUUCCCCAGUCUACGCCUUCCACGGCUCCGCCUUCCACGGCUCUGCCUUCCAGGGCUCCGCCUUCCGAGCCUUCCAGGGCUCUGCCUUCUCCGCCUCCUGAGCCUUCCACGGCUCCGCCUCCAUAGCCUUCCACGGCUCCGCCUCCAUAGCCUUCCACGGCUCCGACUUCAGAGCCGUCUACGACUCCACCUUCUACGCUCCGCCUCCUGAGCCUUCCAUGGCUCCGCCUUCCACGGCUCUGUCUCCUGAGCCCCUUCCUCUGACCACCUCCCCCGGCCUCCUCACUUCCCAUAAUUCCCUGCUCUCGUCACUGUCCGCUGUCUUUCAUUGUCUUCACCUGUGCUUCAUUAAGUCAUUACCCACUGUGUAUAUAAUGCUCUGUUGUUUGCUUGUUCUUGGUCAGUUGUUGUAUGCAUGUAUGGAUUUGUAUUUAUCUAGACCUACCGUGUUUUGCCCGUGCCCUUCGUGAAUGUUUUUGCCUGUUUAUGUUUUUGUUUCCCAUCAUGGAUGUUUUCUUUGUUGCUGUGUUUACCCGUUAGUUUGUACUUGUUUAUUUUUCAUUCAAAUCUAAAGCUGCACUUGGAUCCAGCUCUCUUGACUUUUUCCCAGCGUUACAAUGAUAAUGAAGUAUAUGCUGAUUGGAUUAAGGGCUGGUGAAACUUCAGGGUCAGGGGAGGGUUCCUACAACUGCUUACUUCCUUUGUAUGCUUUGUUACAGUCAUCACCUGAGUGCUUUGUCUUCUCAUGGAAGGACAACCCCCUAAAUAUCUUUAAAACUACAAUGUAUAGCUCAUUGAUUUAGACUUGAUGACUGCAGUGCCACACAGCACGUUCUCAAUAAAGAAUUCUGCGGAAGACGUACUCAGAGUCUCCUGGUUUUCAUUUCUGAGUUUCCAACAGGUGUCAUGCAACAAUUCGCUAAUAUAAUUAUUUUUUCCACUUCGAAGCUUAUGAGAUUCAUUAAUAUUCAUGUUAUCUGAAUAAGAUCACUAGUUUUAAAAAAAAACCUCAGAAUUUAUAUUUUUAUGUGAGGAUCGAUAUUCUUGAUACCACAUCAGUAUCGGAAGUAUAUCCGCCCAUUCCUACUGUGACGUGUAAGCAAUUUUAAAACAAAAGUCAUUACAUUAUUUCAAAA